GCUACGUAUAUUUACGUAGAAAAAAUCUUAGAUGCUAACAACAAGGAACAUGCAUGUGGUUCAACCGUUGGGGUGUCUGUUUUCUGGCUGUGAAUCAAUGUGUGCACACCUAAAACUCGACAAUAAGACGAGCCAAUUUUUUUUUGUA
rnacentral:sRNA from 1 species